rnacentral:rRNA from 1 species
AAGCGUUGCUCGGAAUUACUGGGCGUAAAGCGUGCGCAGGCGGUUUCGUAAGACAGAUGUGAAACUCCCCGGGCUUAACCGUGGGAACUGCGUUUGUGACUGCGAGACUUGAGUGCGGCAGAGGGGGUGGAAUUCCACGUGUAGCAGUGAAAUGCGUAGAGAUGUGGAGGAACACCGAUGGCGAAGGCAGCCCCCUGGGUCGACACUGACGCUCAUGCACGAAAGCGUGGGGAGC